AAGAAAAAUAAAGGCUUGCCUUGAAAAAAAAAAAAAAAAAAAAAAAGCCUUCCGAAAAAUUUUCUUUAAUUUCUUUUUUCAAAUAUAUGCUAAUGCAUAUUAAAGAAAAAAAAAAAAAAAAAA
rnacentral:ribozyme from 11 species